AUAUCCUUAUCAAACUGCAUUUUUUCUUCUACUCCUGAUUCACAACGAUUUGAAUGAAGAAAUAAUCAGAAGUGCAAUUUUAAUCUUAAUUUCCUUUAAAAUGGCUAAAACCAGAAACCCCCUUUUUGUCGGAGUGGGUCUUUAAAAUCUGGGUCUGACUUGAAGUGCAUCCCUGCUAAUCGCCCAAAUGUUUCUUGACGUGUUGCUGAAACAUGAGCAUUUUAACAUGUGAAAUGGAGAACACAUAGUAGUAAAAGUGCUAUUGUACAGUGGAGUCCAAAGGAUGGACGUGACAGUAUUUGUUUCUUUGUGGAGCCAGGGGCGCAUAAAAACACCGUUCUGCUGGUGUCCUCUUUGCUUUCAGGCCUCAAAAAUGUCAGUAAAAUAUUUGUGGUUUUUUCUUUUAAGGGCUUAAACCAAUCCGUACAAGUAACGCUUCACUUUGCACUUGAAAGUAACUUGACUUCAGUUCCUGAAAUGGUAUGAUAGAGCAGCGAAACAAUGGAUGGAUGGAAAGAUGGUGGCUUUGGAUGAAAGCUUUAUUGACAAACACUCUUCUAACAGCAGUGAAUCUCCAAACGAUUGUUUCCCAUUGACGGCAUAUGAGAACUGGAUCGAAGUAAAGUGGUUACUAUGGGCGACGCCACUCUCACUGGGUCCACGUCUCAUUUACAAUCAACGGGUGGAGCCUGAAAACUCCUGAAUCCGGGACUUCAUGCAGAACCAAUCCUCCACAAUGUCGUUUGAACUCGAAGUACGCAUCGUGCACUUUGGCCGAUUUCUCUGAAUUAGGAACCUUAAAGGAUCAGUGUGCAGUGAUCUACGAGGUUAGUUUGUUUUUAGCAUAGUUUGCUUCAAAAAGCCUGUUUUUUUGCUGCAAAAUAAUCCAUCUGAACACUAAAUUACAAUUUCUUUUUUUCAUGUUUUUUUUUCAUCAUGAUGUGCCUUUUACCAAACCUGCUACACGGGAUGAGAACAUGCAGCAAAAAAGCUACAUUUGCUGCUAAUUUGAUUCAAUGAACAAACGUGUUCAAACGACACCCAAAAAAAUGCAAUUUAACACUACGUUUUCAAACCAAUGUCUUCUUCUUCCGAACGCUGUUACUUUAACUGAUCUUUGUGCAGAGCCGAGCCGCUGAGGUUUUAUUUUUGGUGAAAAUACAACGGUACGUUUAUGUCUUACCAGGUGUUCUCAAUGGCAGUGGCUUUUCCACAGCCCUUAAAUAAUAAUAAACUCGUCAUGGUAACUGUUUUGAAAGAAUUCGUGGAUGUGCAAAGAAAAACAGGUUUAACUUAUUUCAACCUGAGAUCAUUUUAGCUAAAACGAAUAUUUAUUAACAAAGUCAUUUUUUGGCCCUUUUUCUUUUUGGUGCAGUGAUUUCUUGAUUCGUUAUUGACAGAAUGCAGAAUAUGCACAGGUUUUAAGGGUUUGUUACAUAUUUUACUUGACAUUUCUAAAAAAAAAAAGUUUUUUUAUGUGAUUUUUCUUUGAUUACUAAUGUUAUUUUUUUUAAGUAAAAGAAGCCCUUUGAUUGUUUUAUACCCUGUUUUUUGUAAAAAUCUACUAACGUUUGGAAAUUACAAAUGAAGGCAUCCGUUUCAAAGCAAAUUAAUAAUCAAAGUAAUAAAGUAAAAUUCUUUUAGAAUGAAACCUUGAAUGAUUUCCAGCAUGUUUUUAACUCUACACCUUAAAAAAGCUGGUUCAGUUGCGUUCAGGACUAUUAAAACUGUCUGGAAAUUCCUGUUACAUUUGGUUCAACAGCAUUACUGAGAAAAUGCAUUUAUUUAAUAUUUUGCCAUUUUAGUUUAUUUUGUUUCCCUGUUUUUGAUAAGUAAAAUGUAUUAACCAG